rnacentral:rRNA from 1 species
UACAGAGGUCCCGAGCGUUGUUCGGAUUCAUUGGGCGUAAAGGGUGCGUAGGCGGCCCUCUCAGUCGGAUGUGAAAUCCCCAGGCUUAACCUGGGAACGGCAUCCGAUACUGGAGGGCUUGAAUUCGGGAGAGGGAUGCAGAAUUCCAGGUGUAGCGGUGAAAUGCGUAGAUAUCUGGAGGAAUACCGGUGGCGAAGGCGGCAUCCUGGACCGAGAUUGACGCUGAGGAGCGAAAGCUAGGGGAGCAAACGGG